AUUGAACGCUGGCGGCAUGCCUUACACAUGCAAGUCGAACGGCAGCACGGGGCAACCUGGUGGCGAGUGGCGAACGGGUGAGUAAUGCAUCGGGACGUACCUUUCAGUGGGGGAUAACGUAGCGAAAGUUACGCUAAUACCGCAUAUUCUGUGAGCAGGAAAGCAGGGGAUCGCAAGACCUCGCGCUGAUUGAGCGGCCGAUGUCAGGUUAGCUAAUUGGUGAGGUAAAGGCUCACCAAGGCGACGAUCUGUAGCGGGUCUGAGAGGAUGAUCGGCCAACCAGGAACUGGGACACGGUCCAGACUCCUACGGGAGGCAGCAGUGGGGAAUUUUGGACAAUGGGGGCAACCCUGAUCCAGCCAUGCCGCGUGAGUGAAGAAGGCCUUCGGGUUGUAAAGCUCUUUCGGCCGGGAAGAAAUCGCACGGGCUAAUACCCUGUGAGGAUGACGGUACCGGAAUAAGAAGCACCGGCUAACUACGUGCCAGCCGCCGCUGUAAGAC
rnacentral:rRNA from 1 species